rfam:Dendroctonus ponderosae Seq01006338, whole genome shotgun sequence.
GAUGAGCAUCAAACCGUUUUUCUUCGCAUUCUUUUUUACCUUCCCCUGACUGGGAGGCGUUUCGUCGUAUAAGAAAGAAUGCGAAGACGAACAAAAAGCCUCCCACCGGGAGGCUUUUUUUUU